GACAGUCCUCUGGCCGCGCUGCCUUGCUCCCGCCGCCCCGGCCUCCGAGCUCAGGCUCCCGGGGCGAACAACGACCGCGGGCUGGGCGUGAGGGCCGGAUGGCGGCCCCUCGGCCCCGGCUCCCACCUGCCAGGACGCCGCUGCAGCCGCUCCAACGAGGGCGGACUCGGCGGUCGAGCAUAGCUCGCUCCUCUGCGCCCGCCGCCCCACCAUUCCCGGGUAAGGGGCUGAGGUCGGGGUCGCGGCCUGGAGCCCCCACCGCCCGCCGGCGCUCCAGGCCCGUAGCCCGGCGCACUGACCUGAAAGUGCAGCGCCAUCUUCCCAGAGCUGCGCGGGCCGCGCGGCCCGAGGGCUGAGGGGAGGGGGAGCGAAGACGCCGCGCGAGCCCCUCCGCCGCGGGAUCCCCCCCACACCGCUCGCUCCCUAUGCUCGGCGCGCUCCGCUUGGAGCCGGCAGCGGGACUGGGCGGGGCCGGCGGGGCGGAGGGGGCGUGUCCUUCGGGCUCCUCCGCCCAACC
rnacentral:lncRNA from 1 species